GGGAGAAAGAACUCUUGUCUGUUUGAAGCAGGUGUGAACAUUGCAAUUGGCCACCUUGAUUAGCAUUGAAUAGUCUUUCAGCUUCAAGGUCUGGCUGCUUACUGCCUGGGAUAAUUCUUUGUUGGGAGGUGUUAGCUGACCCUGAUUGAUUCAUAUCUGGAGUUCCUCUGUUUUCUGAGCCACAAGCAUGUAGACAAUUUCAACAGAAAGGAGGAAACCAUGAAAAUGAACAAAAUGUGGCUACCAGUGUUAAAAAACCCACUAAAAUCAGGGCAUUAAAAAAAGAACACAACUCUGAAAACAGGGGAAUUUCAGACAGGAAACAAUCAGGGCCAGCUAACAUCUCCCAACAGAGGAUUCCCCCAGGCAGUAAGCAGCCAGAUCUUGAAGCUGAAAGGCUAUUCAAUGCUAAUUAAUGUGGGCAAUUGCAAUGUUCACUCCUUCUUCAAACAGACAAGAGUUCUUUCUCCCACCCUGGACACUCCAGAGAUAUAUAAACCCCACUUGACUAGUUUCCAACAGACCUCAUUACCUCUGAGGAUAGCUGCCAUAGAUGUGGGUGAAACGUCAGGAAAGAAUGGCUUCUGGAACAUGGACAUACAGCCUGGAAAACUCACAGCAACCCAAAAUUUUGAGGUUGGAAAUUAUCUUGGAAAGAGUCUCUCCAGCUCCCUGCAUAAUGUAAGAUGGAAAUACAGUGGAUCUUUUCACACUACACCUCUCUAUAUAUAUUUAUUCCACUUCAGUGGUGCAUCUGCACUAUAGAAGCAAUGCAGUUUUGACACCUUUUUAACUGUCAUGGCACAAUGAUUGAGAAACCUGGAAGAGAAGGCUCAAGACCUUGUAAAAUGAUGACUCCCAUGAUUCCAUAGCAAAUCUGACCCUUCUUCUUUAUGACAGCCAUUCUGAUAUUUGGAUAAAGCUGUCUUGAUUGAAGCUUAAUCAUUUAUUGGGCUCUACCAGUUCUUUCAAUUGAACCUGUGCCUUUGUGACAGUUCCUGGUUCCAUGUCACCGGGGCAAUGACUCCUUUCCGAGUUUUAGUUCAAACUUCUGAGAGUUAUCUUAAGACUUUCCCCCAGCACUUUUGAUAAUUCCUUAAUGCUAUCCUAAACCAGAACUAUGCAAAAUCACAUCCUGAAAUAACCUGUCAUGCUAUUAACAUUUCAUUAUAAUAUAUUAGCUGAAAUUUCACUAACUUAAUAUGCUCCACAGAAUACAAACAGGACAAAGUAGUAUGUAAUGGAUAAUGAAUUGGCCAGUCAAUGCCUUUAUAAGUAUUAGUAUCUUUUUCAAAACACCUUUUUUCAAAACAGAUGCCCAACUCAAAACACCUUAGACAGAGUUACCUGUCUGUUCUUCAAGUCAUCUCUGACCUACAGCAACCCUAUAGCAGAUCUGGGAAACCAGGUUUCAAACCUUGAACUUUGGAAGUUAGGAAGGCACUGAUUAAUCCUUUGCCCUUCUGCUUUUUCAACUGCUUUUAAAAUAGCCCAUUUUUCUUCUCUUCCUAUCACUUCCUGUUUACUUCCUUUGGUACAAACUGAGCUCAAAGUAUAAAAACAAUUUGUACUCAGUUCAUUCAGCAAAGGGGAAAAGAAAAGGCUUGUCCCAGUCAUUUCAGGCAAAAGCAAACUGCUGCAGUUUCUCAUCGAUCCCAUUCUAACAUUGCUGGACCACUUGCAUUCAGGUAUUUGAAUGCUGGAGGCCAAGAAAUGUCCACCAGCCAUAUAAACUGACUCUCUUAAUCUUAGAGCAUGGCUGUCAAACUCAAUUUCAUGGAGAGCCACAUCUGCCUCAUGGGUGUCUUCAACCACUGAAUCCAUAGAUACAAAGGGCCAACUAUAAUUUAUUUAGAUAGCGGUCAGUGCUCUUAAGUUUUUGGGUGCCCAGAUGUUUUUAAAUGCCACAUCCCAUCCCUUUUGAUUAUCCACUACACUGACUGGGAAUAAUGGGAAUUGCAGCCCAAUUGCAGAGCACUUGUGGCUCUGAGGUUGGGGAAAGAUAAAAACACAUUUUAAAUUUGGGCAUCACAACCACAAGCCUUGUGUCUAAAUCCAAGCCCCACUAUCUUGACUAAACACACUAAACUGCAGAUGUUACUGUAUUUCAACUCAUAUCAGCUCUAGUCGUGAUGUCUAAUGAUGAGGAAUAUGGGAGUUGUAGUCCAGCAUCUGGAGAGCCACAUAAAAUAACAUGGAGGGUUGAAUAUGUCCCGUGGGUCCUGAGGUUGACACAGAAGAAAACAGUGACAAAUCCUCUUUAAAUAAAUCAUAUCAAGAAAAUCCUAUGAUAAGGUUGCCAUCAGUCAGAGUUGACAAGAACCCACAUAACAACAGGGCAAUAAGGCCCUUUGUCUGAGAAUUAUCAAUCUAAAUCCCUAAACUACACAUCCCACAAGAGUAGAAUUAGUGUGAUGCAAAACACUGCAAAAGGGCCCCUAGGACCCUUGAGUAUGUUUCAAGGAAUUAUUAAUGUAUAUAUGAGUAUAUUUUAAUGUAUUCUAUGUUUUAUGAUUUUAUGUGUAUAUGUUUUAAAUGUGUUUAUGUGAUUGUAUUAUAUUGUGUAAUGCUGGGCUUGGUCCACAUGUGAGCUGCCCCGAGUCCCAUCAGAGAAAUAGGGCAGAAUAUAAGAAUAAAGUUAUCAUUAUAAUUAUUACUAUCACCAUCAUUAUUAUUACAGUAGAGUCUCACUUGUCUAACAUAAACGGGCCGGCAGAACAUUGGAUAAGCGAAUAUGUUGGAUAAUAAGGAGGGAUUAAGGAAAACCCUAUUAAACAUCAAAUUAGGUUAUGAUUUUACAAAUUAAGCACCAAAACAUCAUGUUUUGCAACAAAUUUGACAGAAAAAAUAGUUCAAUACGCAGUAGUGUUAUGUUGUAAUUACUGUAUUUACGAAUUUAGCACCAAAAUAUCACGGUGUAUUGAAAACAUUGACUACAAAAAUGUGUUGGAUAAUCCAGAACGUUGGAUAAGUGAGUGUUGGAUAAGUGAGACUUUACUGUAUUACCAGCCCCAGGGGGAUUUUAGGAGCUCUAGUCCAAAAAGAGCCUAACCAUGCACAGCCCGAGAGUAAAUCAAUGUCAUCAACCAAAAGGCAAGGUUGAAAGACUCUAAGGUCACAACGCUGUUUAUCUAUAUUGAGGAAUGAAUGCAAUUUGGCACCUUUUUAGAUGCUAUGGAAUCCAGGGAGUUGUAGUUUGCAAGGAUUCUCUGCCAAAGAAUUCUGUUGCCUCUCAAAUCAACAAAUCCCAUAGCAUUGGACCCUGGCAAUUUCAGUGGUGUUAGAUUGCAUUCAUUCUGCACUGUAGAUGCACCCUGAGAUAACCAACCUUUCCAUCAUUUGGAGCUAAUUAGUUUCCUCGAAACCUCCUGGGGAUGCUAAAGUUUAAUUGUGUUCCUUUUAUGAACCCAUAUUGUGACUCAUGCCCUUUAAUUGUGGUUUAGAAUUGGCAUGGUUUAUGGACAUGAUCAACCUGUGCUAUCAAACAUCAGCCCAAAAUACGCAAAGUGGGGCUGUUCUAGCUUGGGUUGGCCUCCCUCCCUCCCUCCCUCCAAGCCCGAAACCCUGCCAGGUCAUCGAAUCACUUAUGGAAAUGUCCUCCAAGAGCCUUGAGGACAGGCCAGGGAUGUUGCCGUCUGCUGCGUGAUGAGACGCCUGUUUGCCUCCACCUCGUGUGUAAUUCGCCCAAAAUGAAAGAGAGGCUGCGAGGAGGAAAUUAAAAGGUAAACCCAGGAUCUCUCUGUUUAAUUUUGCAUGAUCAAAAAGGCUGCAUGCUGUCCCCGGCACAGCUGGGUUCUUUCCUGAUGGGUGAGACGGCGUGUAUUCAUGCGCCAUGCUCAUUAAAUAAAAAUUGAAUUCACUGAUUGCAUUUGGUCCCCUCAUCACACGGAGACACAAUCCUAGUUCGUUGGUCCAAAUAAAUGCAGGGUUUUUUUUGACAGAGUGACUUACAAUAUAUGUCAAAAAAUGCUCAAGCAAUACAUGGCACGACAGUUUUUUUUAAUAUACAAUCAGCUCUCCUCAUUCACUGGAAUUAGAUGCACAAGACCUUUGUAAAAAUGAAAGAAUUCAACAAAGAAUUAACUCCUUUUGGAGGGCCGGGGAGAUAACUCUCUAGAAAUGUCUAAGUUCUUUUACUCAUAGCACAGUUUUAUGGUCAACUUUAUUGAAAGCUAAUUAUAAAAUUGUGUUGCAGGACCCAGAAAUGUCCUAGAGACAUGUUCUCUCAAGAAAUCCCUGUGUCCUCCAUGAUGACCAGAGGAAGAUGACCAUAGAAUCACAGGGGAUGAUCUAGAAAUUCGUAUAAAGGACAUUUUCAAUCUAAUUUUUGAGUAAUUAAUUUGUAAAUUGCAUUUGAUAUCUGCUGAGAUUUGGUUCCAGGAACCUCCCCCCCACCCCCAAGAUCCCAAAUUCCUUAAAAGCUCCAAUCUCAUUAUAUACAAUUGUGUAGUAAAAUGGUGUCCCUUAUAUAAAAUGUCAAAAUUAAGGUUUACUUUUUGGGGUGUUUGAAAACAUAUUUUUAGGCUAUGGGCAGUUGGAUACAUGGAUGCUGAAUCUAUGGAUAUGGAGAGCUGACUGUGCAAUCAAACCUCCACAUUUGUUUGGGGUUAAAUAGGGGGUCAAAACCCCAGCCAAAGUGUGUGUGGGUGGGUGUGAUUUUUUUUUUUUAACAAACUCACUUUUUAAAACCUGAGACAACUCCUUUCCGGGGAUUUUUAAAUUAUGUAACUUUGAAUUCCUUGUUUAUGCUGGACUUGGUCUUCAUGAAAGUGCCCCGAGUCCCUUUGGGGAGAUGGUGGGGUGAGUUGUUGUUGUUGUUGUUUCUAGGCCCUCCAGCUUUUUUUUUCCGUGUCAGGAGUGACUUCAGAAACUGCUAGUCACUUCUGGAGUGAGAUAAUUGGCCGUCUGCAAGGAUGUUGUCCAGAUGUUUUGAUGUUUUUAUAUAUUUAUCAUCCACUGAGGUAUGAGAGGCUAAAAAGAUAUCCUCCAAUUCUAAACUUAAGGGUGGCAAAAAGCCCUCUGAAGCAUCUCCAAUCCGGGCAUUAAAGUCUCCUUUUGAUGUUUUUACCAUUCUUGCAGAAGGCUUCUCUCAUCUGCUCUCUCCCCAGGUUGCAUUCGAACCAGCAACCUUCAGGUCAGCAACCCAAUCUUCAAGUCAUCAGUCCUGCCGGCACAAGGGUUUAACCCACUGCACCACCGGGGGCUCCUAUAGAGCCUCCAGUAUGAUGCAAUGAUCAAUUUUGUGUGGAUCUUUAGAUUCCUAGAGACAGCAUAUCAAGAAAAUUCCCUGAGCAAUCAAAUCUGCAAAAGUGAAAACCACAGGUGUGGAGGGCCAGCUGUUUAUGCUUUUAAAAAUUGUAAUAAGAGUAGGCAUUAAGGCAGACACAUCCUAUCUCUUUUCUCUCUUUUUCUCUUUCUGGCAGCUUCCAUUUACCUUGCUUGUUCUGGGCAGGUGGGCACAGUUACAGUAGACCCAAAAGGUCCGAAUACUACAAUUCAUUGUCAGUGGGUUUGUUAACCAAGUUAAACAUCAAGAAAACCAAGAUCAUGGCAACCACACCUAUUGAUAACUGGCAAAUAGAGGGAGAAAGCGUGGAGGCAGUGACAGACUUUAUAUUUCUAGGUGCGAAGAUCACUGCAGAUGCAGACUGCAGCCAGGAUAUCAGAAGACGUUUGCUUCUUGGGAGGAGAGCAAUGGCCAACCUUGAUAAAAUAGUGAAAAGCAGAGACAUCACACUGGCAACUAAGAUUCAUAUAGUGAAAGCAAUGGUAUUCCCCAUAGUAACCUAUGGAUGCGAGAGCUGGACCAUAAGGAAGGCUGAGCGAAGGAAGAUAGACGCUUUUGAACUCUGGUGCUGGAGGAAAAUCCUGAGAGUGCCUUGGACUUCAAGAAGAUCCAAACAGUCCAUCCUCCAGGAAAUAAUUCCUGGCUGCUCACUGGAGGGAAGGAUAUUAGAGGCAAAGUUGAAGUAUUUUGGCCACAUCAUGAGGAGAGAGGAAAGCUUGGAAAAGAUCAUGAUGCUGGGGGAAAUGGAAGGAAAAAGGAAGAGAGGCUGACCAAGGGCGAGAUGGAUGGACGGUAUCCUUGAAGUGACUGGCCUGACCUUGAAGGAACUGGGGGUGGUGACGGCCGACAGGGAGCUCUGGCGUGGACUGGUCCAUGAGGUCACAAAGAGUCGGAAACGAUUAUGUGACUGAGAGAAAGAGAGAGAGAUUUUUCUGUUGCUUUCAUCUCCUUGCCUUUUAGGUUAGAAAGGGAUUGAAAAUAUAUGACCCUUUGAGGGGGCCCACAAAAGUCUUGGGACUCCAAACACCAAAUAUCGGGGGGGGACGGGACUGGCCACUCUGAAUUCUGAGCACAGAAAAUGACUCUGGGGACUCCAGGUUUGCUCUAUAACCCUUCCACUUCUUGCUUAUGGUGCUGUGUAUUCCAUCCAGGCUUGGGGAAAACCUUAUUGAGCACCUCAAUUCCUGAGUUUCACAUGUUGGACUUUUGGGAUUUGGGGUGCAAUUCCUUCUGAACCAUUGAACCCAGAAGGUGUCCUUAGCUUGUCACCCUCUUCUUUCUCUCUCUCUCAACUUUGCCUACCUUAAUGGAGGUGUUCUGAGAAUAGAUUAGGAGUAGGAAGGAUAAAAGCAGUGUGUGUUCCUUUCAUAAUUUACAACAUCACACAAAGGAAAAGUGUGGCUAAAGUAUGGUCAAGAUAAAGUAAAGACUGCAAUGGCAUGCUUUAGCCUGAGGCUACUGGGAAGCCAUGGCAUAACAAGGAUAGGGCAAUAAAAGUGGGGGUCAAGCCAUAAGUGCAGAUAUGGUCCCCAAGAGCAAGCAAGAGCAGGGAGGAAGUGAGGUGGAUUUAGGGAGAGAUGCAGGCACAAGCAUUGCCUGAUGGUCCAUGGGCUCCUCUCCACAGGUCUGAGGAUGAUGAGGGAGAGAUCUGGGACUCUUACAGUGACAGUUUUGCCUAGCUCUUGUUAUGAUCCAAGAGAAUUUGUUUCCUUCUUGUAGUAAAAACUUUAUAAGGAUCGUUGUUGGCACCAACUAAGAAGGCAGUAGCAAUGUCAACACACUUCAGCCACUUUCUGUCUGCCUUCUUGGCUAGUAGUCACCUCUUCAAAUGAAGCUGGGACUCCUUGAAGCAACCAUCUCUGCCUCCAGAAUUCAUACCAGGUAUUCAACAGCUAUGUAGCCACAGCAGUGUAGGGUCUGAGGUACAACAUUUCUUAAAACCUUGAAAAUAUGCCCACAGCCUAGCAAAGUAUGGAACAUAGGCACCAAUGCCAUCCUUGGAAUUGAGCCCUAAUGAGCAUAGCAUGGUACAGUGGUUUGAGAAUUGGGCUUUGAAGAACAGAGUUUGAAUCUUCACUUGGCUAUGGAAACACCUGGGUGACCUUUAUCAAAUCACAUAAUGUUCACUGCUGACUCUCCAGUAAUAGGCUUGCCUUACAGUUGCCGUAAGUCAGAAACAACUUGAAGGCACACAGCUGGGGUGUUGUGUGGUUUCCGGGUGGUAUGGCUGUGUUUUAGCAGCAUUUUCUCAUGAUAUUUCGCCUGCAUUUGUGACUGGCAUCUUCAGAGGAUCCAGCCACAGAUGCAGGCAAAAUGACUGGAGAAAAUGCUGCUAGAACACAGCCAUGUAGCCCGGAAACCAUACAACACCCCAGUGAUUCUGACCGUGAAAGCCUUUGACAACUCAGCUGCUGCUGCUGCUGUUGCAGCUGGCACCACCUCUGCAACCCUUGGCCGCAGGCCAUCAGCCAUAUGUUUCCUGAAAGCUGCGCUCAUUUAUUAAUACAAGGAUCAUGUAAAUGAGAGGUGCAAAUCGUGCAGCUCUCCACAUGUGGAACUCUUUAUGAUGUGUUUAGUGAUUAUCAUUGAAAAUAGUUUUGUCAGAUAGGAGAGGGGGUGUUCAAAAUGAUCCAGCCUGGAUUGGAGAUGCAUUGUUUCAUGGAAGGGCAGGAUUCCACCACUACCCUGCACUGUUGUCGUUUUAAAGGCUCUAGGAUGCUUUUUAGGAUGCAGAUUUAGUGCAGUCAGAGUCUGAUACAAUAGCUGAGUUCAGGGUGAAAUGGUCUGAAUUGUGGAAAACAAGAAAAUAUCACAAUUUGAAUCUUCA